AGUGAACGCUGGCGGUAGGCCUAACACAUGCAAGUCGAACGGCAGCGCAGUAAGAGCUUGCUCUUACGGGUGGCGAGUGGCGGACGGGUGAGGAAUACAUCGGAAUCUACUUUUUCGUGGGGGAUAACGUAGGGAAACUUACGCUAAUACCGCAUACGACCUACGGGUGAAAGCAGGGGAUCUUCGGACCUUGCGCGAUUGAAUGAGCCGAUGUCGGAUUAGCUAGUUGGCGGGGUAAAGGCCCACCAAGGCGACGAUCCGUAGCUGGUCUGAGAGGGUGAUCAGCCACACUGGAACUGAGACACGGUCCAGACUCCUACGGGAGGCAGCAGUGGGGAAUAUUGGACAAUGGGCGCAAGCCUGAUCCAGCCAUACCGCGUGGGUGAAGAAGGCCUUCGGGUUGUAAAGCCCUUUUGUUGGGAAAGAAAAGCAGCAGGUUAAUACCCCGCUGUUCUGACGGUACCCAAAGAAUAAGCACCGGCUAACUUCGUG
rnacentral:rRNA from 1 species